AUCCAGAGUAAUGAAUAUGCCCCAUUAAUUUUCAAUAAUUUUAAUUUUCGGAUAGCCAUCUUGUUCCGAAAUUAAGUUUAAUUCCAAUAUUAAGCAGUAACAGUGAAUGACUUUGAAGAGACAUCAAGGAGCUCAAUGGUAGACCAAGAGAGAGUGGGCAUGAGUGAGAAAGAAGGAGUAGAGGGCACAGAGCAGUGCUGAAGACAGCUAAAGUCAAGCCACACGGCACGGAUACCAGAAUUCCUUUUUAUCCGAAUAUUUUGGCACAUUUUCACAUGAUAAUAAAAGUACUGAUGAACCCAAGGCACCAGCUCAUACACAAUCUGUCACAUCUAGUCCUUCUGAUGGAGCAGUUGCUAGUAAUU